GACGGGGGGGAGGGGGGAACAGGCGGCGAAGCGUGGACGCGUCCACGACGCGGGCUCGUCGUCGAAGCGAGAGUAGACUUUACCAGCGAUGGGGGACGCGAUUCAAGAGGCGGCCAUAACCGCGCCACAUCUGCGUGCGCGGAUUCCGGCAACCACUUCUGAUAAGCCGGCAGCAGAACUGAAAUUAAAGCAGCGUUAAUCGCGAAAUACUGUAUUUCGACCAGCUUGUCUUUGGACAUAACUCCCUGCGAUUGUAGCGUUUGCACUAUUGUUUGAGUGCGUGGUAUCAGCC